rnacentral:ncRNA from 1 species
UCUAGUCUGGCACGGUGAAGAGACAUGAGAGGUGUAGAAUAAGUGGGAGGCCCCCAGCGCCCCCCGUCCCCGCGAGGGGGCGGGGCGGGGUCCGCCGGCUUUGCGGGCUGACGGUGAAAUACCACUACUCUGAUAGUUUUUUCACUGACCGGGUGAGGCGGUGGGGGGCGGCGAGCGCCCAGGGGCUCUCGUAAAUGGUGCUGGGAAAACUGGCUAGCCAUAUGUAGAAAGCUGAAACUGGAUCCCUUCCUUACACCUUAUACAAAAAUUAAUUCAAGAUGGAUUAAAGACUUAAAUGUUAGACGUAAAACCAUAAAAACCCUAGAAGAAAACCUAGGCAUUACCAUUCAGGACAUAGGCAUGGGCAAGGA